rnacentral:sRNA from 1 species
AGCACUUGCUAUUAUCUGUGCAAGUUAACUAGUCCCCCCUGAGUUGAGGCUCACAGAAGCACUACUGGCAGCUCGGUUAAGAAAGCUGUAAUUAAAAAGGAAAUAUAACCAAACGCAGCUUCAGACGCAGCCAAGGCCUGACACCAAGCUCAUCUCCUCCUCUCUUCUGCCUAAACACCGCAGUGACCAUCCUGCCGACCCAAAGGAGGUCCCUACAAACAAGUGCAAGAACAAUCCGCGCUGAUCACUGCCCUCCCAGAAAGAGAUGGAAAACUUCGAAGCCCCUUUCCACUGCCUUGCCAAGCAGUUCCACCAGCUGUACCGGGAGAAGGUGGAGGUUUUCCGGGCCCUGGCGUGACGAGCUGGAGCAGAUCGUGCUGCACAACCGGAGAAGACAGAAUUACCUCUGCUCUUUUAAUAUAUAAUGAUGGCUUUAAAUAAAAUUAGGAGAAAAUGUC